rnacentral:rRNA from 1 species
AGUGAACGCUGGCGGCAGGCCUAACACAUGCAAGUCGAGCGGCAGCGGGUUCCCGCGAGGGGAUGCCGGCGAGCGGCGGACGGGUGAGGAACACAUCGGAAUCUGCCUGGUUGUGGGGAUAACGUAGGAAACGUUACGCUAAUACCGCAUGCGACCCUGAGUCGACGGACGUGGGGGUGAAAGUGAGGGACCGUUCGGGCCUCACGCGACCAGAUGAGCCGAUGUC